rnacentral:rRNA from 1 species
GAUGAACGCUGGCGGCGUGCCUAAUACAUGCAAGUCGAGCGAACAGAUGAGGAGCUUGCUCCUCUGACGUUAGCGGCGGACGGGUGAGUAACACGUGGAUAACCUACCUAUAAGACUGGGAUAACCUCGGGAAACCGGAGCUAAUACCGGAUAAUAUAUUGAACCGCAUGGUUCAAUAGUGAAAGACGGUUUUGCUGUCACUUAUAGAUGGAUCCGCGCCGCAUUAGCUAGUUGGUAAGGUAACGGCUUACCAAGGCGACGAUGCGUAGCCGACCUGAGAGGGUGAUCGGCCACACUGGAACUGAGACACGGUCCAGACUCCUACGGGAGGCAGCAGUAGGGAAUCUUCCGCAAUGGGCGAAAGCCUGACGGAGCAACGCCGCGUGAGUGAUGAAGGUCUUCGGAUCGUAAAACUCUGUUAUUAGGGAAGAACAAAUGUGUAAGUAACUAUGCACGUCUUGACGGUACCUAAUCAGAAAGCCACGGCUAACUACGUG